rnacentral:rRNA from 1 species
UACGUAGGGGGCAAGCGUUGUCCGGAUUCAUUGGGCGUAAAGAGCGUGUAGGCGGCCAGGCAGGUCCGCUGUGAAAACUCGAGGCUCAACCUCGAGAUGUCGGUGGAAACCGUCUGGCUAGAGUCCGGAAGAGGAGAGUGGAAUUCCCGGUGUAGCGGUGAAAUGCGUAGAGAUCGGGAGGAACACCAGAGGCGAAGGCGGCUCGCUGGACAGUUACUGACACUCAACUACGAAAGCGUGGGGAGCAAACAGG